GCAAGUCGAGGGGUAACAUGAUAGCUUGCUAUCGAUGACGACCGGCGCACGGGUGAGUAACGCGUAUGCAACCUACCUUUUACAAAGGAAUAGCCCAGAGAAAUUUGGAUUAAUACCUCAUAGUAUUACCGAAUCGCAUGAUUUGGUAAUUAAAGCUCCGGCGGUACAAGAUGAACAUGCGUGACAUUAGCUAGUUGGUAAGGUAACGGCUUACCAAGGCUACGAUGUCUAGGGGUUCUGAGAGGAUGAUC
rnacentral:rRNA from 1 species